AAAAAAAAACGAUGAGGCAGCGAAAAGAAAUAGAGCCGGCAGUGCCACUGGCAUUGCCGUUUUCAAUGGGGGAUAUUUAAACCCAUCCAAAAUCGAGUAUCAAUUGGAGGACAAGUCUGGUGCCAGCACCCGCGGUAUUCCAGCUCCAAAAGCGUAUAU
rnacentral:rRNA from 1 species